GGAGGGAGCGGCUCCGCCUAUGGCAGCCAUCUUUACUAGUGGCAGUGGGGACUGUUGCGGCUGCGGAGCAGCUUUCCACAGCGCUCUUUAAGCAGUGGAGUAAAGGCUGUGCGAGAGAAGUUUUGUUUGGGGUUUCUUUUCCCUUUUUACUUUUUUGCUCGGGUCCCAGGGAUGUGGUGGGGAUAGAAUUCCAGGGCUGGCGGCUGGGAGCUCAGCGUGGCCACCCUGGGAGGAGAGGGUCUAACAAGAAUUUUAGCUGGCGCUUCAAUAAAACCGCUUGGUGUGGGACCUCUCGGCGUGCGCGGGGGAGGGCGAAUUGAUUCCUCUUGCAUUUUAGAAGCAAAAAAUGAGAUCUGCUCCCGGGCAUCUUGCUGGAGCUGGAAAGCAAUAUGGAGCGCUCCCCCGAAUACGUCACGGUUCUCGCCCUCGCGGUGCGCCGUCCCACCCGCACGGAAUGCGGUUUUGUUUUUCAGAACUGUACAUCAAACAGCCGUCUUGGAAACUGUUUAUCGCUCCAGAAACAGUGGCCUGCAGGGGCGAAACUGAGCUUGCCUGGGAGACAUGCUACGAGAUGCUGGCUGAAAAAAAAUUUUUUUGAUCGUAUCAGCUCAUUUGCCUUUUUAGGCAACUUGUGUGUGCGCGCGCAUCCGGUUUUCAUUCGUCUCUGAGGUCCACCCGGGCGAAGAGAAAACCUUUUAUCUCUUACUGUAUCAGAAGGUUCAUUGUUCAGGACUCAUCUUCCGUUCAGGGGAUACGGGGUGCAGCGGGGGGCGCGAGAAUUAAAGUGUUUAGAGAUGGGGAAAAGGAGAAGCCAUGGCUGUCUUGCUCUGGCGCCAGGCGAUGCCCUUGUUGGUUUUAUUUGAGCUGCGUAGGUGCACAUUCGGGGGUUUGUGGAAAACCAAGGGUGAAUCCGGUGCUGCCUUGGCUACAGGGAGCUCCAGAAUUCACCUUGUAGGCGGGUGUUGCCAUGGCUACGGGGAGAGGUGGUUGGUGAAUUUCUCGCCGAUAAACCCAGCAAGGCCAGACCCCUCUGAUUUAUGAAGUCUUAGUAGUAAUGGACCACCCUGGUUUUUGCGUCCCGCUUCCAUCGUUCCCAUCCCUGUCCAAGAUUCCUGACUGAUCGAUCCAGGCACACAGGGACUGUCGAUUUCAGUGUUGACUAAUGCAGGCGCACUCACUGCCUUGUGUAGAUUUUCUGAUUAGAUGCUGGGUAUGGGUGGGACUACAGUCUUUGUGCCAUUUGCCUCCCUUUUUGAUUUGGAAGUUAUUGCUAAUUUUAGCAAUUGUGGAUAUUUAAUUCUUGCCUUUUAUGCCUUUUCCCCAUAAGUAAACGAUCACUAGCCCCCUAAAACUAACAGCACCCCAUUUUGUUGUUUAGCAGUACAGUGUCAAAGCACUGAGUCCAUGCACAUUGCAAAAGAAAGAAUAUUGCACUUUUGCAUAAUCUCCAAAUAGCAGCAACCACUGGAGCGACCGUGGAACACGCAAUAAUUCAGUGUCCUUUGGCAGGUGCAAUAGGAGCCUGCCACUCUGCUUGCUGUGUGAGGCAGACAGAGCGAAGGACUGAAUUUUCCAGAGCCUAGGUUUCUUCCGUGGUGCAGAGAGAAUCGAGUCUACUGCACAGAGUUCUCGUGACGAUUGCGCGAGACGUGAACCUGCCAGCACUGUGUAAAUUGUAAAGCUAUUGACCUAAUGAUAUUUGGUUACUGAAGCAUUUACUGAGUGCCCGUAAUUGUCUGACCUUGUGAGAGGAAGAUUUUCCACUUUGCAGGAAGAACAGAUGGACAAACUCAGAUCCAAAAUAAACCUUAGGUGGCACAGUCUUUCUUCAUUGAGUAUUAACAUGGUCUUAUUAGCAUAUAUUGUCAGAUUUUUUAUCCUCACCAGAGGACAUUUUUUUCAUUGCUUUUAGAAUGAGAAGAAGAGGGGAAGAGAGAGAGAAACUCAGUGUGAGAGAGAAACCAAUUGGUUGCCUUCUCACACCCUCCUGGGCAGAGAGGAUGAAACUGCAACCUGGGUGUAUGGGCCCUGACCGAGGAUCGAACCUGUGAAUUUCCCUUCCGUGGCACGAUGAUCCAAUGAACUAAGCCACCCCAGCCAGGGCUAUGUUGCCACAUUUGGGGGCUCUUGGGGUCACUAGCUUACCACAGUUUGUCUUGGACUUCCCUGGUUUUAACACUCAAACGCCCAUGUCCUGGAGAGCCUCUUUCUCCCAGGCAAACCAGGACGGUUGGUCACCCCUGGACUGUUUUCAGUGCCACUGGGAGGAUGAACUGAAUGGGAAGUGAAGCUUCUUACUGUCCACAGGUGAUUAGGAUUCCCUGCAGCUGGACGUUACUGGACACAAGAAAACGGAUGUCUAUGUCUCAGAAAGCCUGAUUAAGAUGGAACCCUCCCAUCUGGAGCCUGAGAUCUCUGAAUUUGUGGAAAACUUUUGUCAAUUACACGCUGAACACCUGAAUCAAUAACCAUCAAAAUUGUUGGAGAGAAAAAGAAGUUCAAUGGAAGAAGGGAAGCUUCUGUUUUACAAUGUAGCUUUUAAAAGGCAAAUAUUAUAUUAGGUUCUUUUAAAACACUAUGUGACUUUGAUACCUACAAAAUAAUAUAGUAAAUGUAAAUUAUUGAGAAACAUAUUAAAAUAAGCCACAGUGAGCCCGUCACCUAUUCAAAUCACCAGCAAAUGACCAAUUUUGUGGAAAACACUGGUGUACUUCCCACUGUCAAUCUAGGUCUGCCAUCUUAUGGAUCCCAAAUGGUACUGCCAAAAUGCAGGGCGGUGCCUCUGUUAGUGCGGGAGACGACAUUUGCACAGACCAAGAGAACACCUGCUCGCGCACCUGUAGCUUAUUUCCAAAGGAGUCUGUACAGCAUUCUGAAAUGUAUAUUCUUUGGUGAUUCUUAAUUUUAACUCUCUAGGAAAGAAUCCAAGUAAAUUGUGCCAAUUUUAAUUGUUUAUUGACCCCACGAAACAUUUCCCAGGCACCAUUUCAUUUCUUUGCUUUUGAAAUGGUCUGGAAAGGAGAGAGCAGUUCUUCACAGUGAUUGUGCGUGAGCACCCGCAUGUGUGUUUUACGGAAGCUGGGAGCAGCUACUCGUGCACGACUGUGAAACAGAACAGUCUUCCUCUUUUCAGUGUACAUCGCUGGGAAAUGAUGGGCAUAGGUGGUUUCCCACGGCAGAGUGUGUGGAAUUCACGCCCUCCCUCCCCU